rnacentral:rRNA from 1 species
AUGAACGCUAGCGACAGGCCUAACACAUGCAAGUCGAGGGGCAGCACAAGGAGCAAUCUGAGGUGGCGACCGGCGCACGGGUGAGUAACACGUAUGCAACCUGCCUGUAAGCGGGGAAUAACCCGUUGAAAGACGGACUAAUACCGCAUAAUACUAAAUUACUGCAUGGUAAUUUAUUUAAACAUUUAUGGCUUACAGAUGGGCAUGCGCAUGAUUAGCUAGUUGGAGAGGUAACGGCUCCCCAAGGCAACGAUCAUUAGGGGUUCUGAGAGGAAGGUCCCCCACACUGGUACUGAGACACGGACCAGACUCCUACGGGAGGCAGCAGUGAGGAAUAUUGGUCAAUGGACGAGAGUCUGGACCAGCCAAGUCGCGUGCAGGAAGAAUGUCCUAUGGAUUGUAAACUGCUUUUGCAGGGGAAUAAAGUGCAUCACGUGUGAUGUUUUGUAUGUACUCUGCGAAUAAGGAUCGGCUAACUCCGUGCCAGCAGCAGC